GAUGAAGAACGUAGCGAAAUGCGAUAAGUAAUGUGAAUUGCAGAAUUCAGUGAAUCAUCGAACCUUUGAACGCACAUUGCGCCCCUUGGUAUUCCGAGGGGCAUGCCUGUUCGAGCGUCAUUAUAACCCCUCAAGCUCAGCUUGGUGUUGGGGCCUGCUGCACUGGCAGCCCUUAAAAUCAGUGGCGGCGCCAUCUGGCUCUAAGCGUAGUAAUUCUUCUCGCUAUGGAGUCCUGGUGGAUGCUUGCCAUCAACCCCCAAUUUUUCUAUGGUUGACCUUGGAUCAGGUAGGGAUACCCGCUGAACUUAAGCAUAUCAAUAAGCGAAGGA
rnacentral:misc_RNA from 1 species